rnacentral:rRNA from 1 species
CCCUUAGAUGUUCUGGGCCGCACACGCGCUACACUGAAGGAGGCAGCGUGUACUCCUGGAUCGAAAGAUUUGGGUAACCCGCGAAUCUCCUUCGUGCUAGGGAUUGAGGUUUGCAAUUAUCCUUCAUGAACGAGGAAUUCCCAGUAAGUGCAAGUCAUAAGCUUGCGCUGACUACGUCCCUGCCCUUUGUACACACCGCCCGUCGCUACUACCGAUUGAAUGAUUUAGUGAGGACUUCGGACUGGGACCGAUGCGGCUUUCGGGCUGCGUCGGUAUUCUGGAAAGAUGUCCAAACUGUAUCAUUUAGAAGAAGUAAAAGUCGUANCA